UCCGCAAUGUUUUGGGGGCGAAAACACGCCGGUUUCUGGAUAAUUUGUAGCUUGGUGCAUGUUGCCUUUGCGGGAUAACACCUGCCCAGUUUAUCGCGAAUUUUGGGGGAAAUGGUCCCUAUACUAUACUGUAAACAUGACUAUCGCUGGAGCUCCUAGGUGGGACGAGCGGGUUUGCAUAGUGUUGUACAUUAAUUUGGUUUUCUGCAAGUGCUGACGCUUCGACCCAGGGUGGACUUGCGCCGGCUACCCUCGCGAAUGUGGUUAUUCUAAAAAUGAACGUGGUCCCUGCACUUCACUGCGUUAUGUGACUGCCUUUACAGCUGUAUGUUAUUUGUGCAUAAUUACGCUAAUCCUGAUUUGAGAAAUAGCCCACCUUAUCUAUUAUUAGCGUAUCUUUGUGUGUGUUCGUGUUCUUUCACCAGAUUUUACCCGCAUUCGCAAAAUGUUCGCCGGCAUGUUGCCUUUGACAAUUGCUGUGUCCCCGCCUCUUUCCUCUGGAUUUAACCCUUACGGACCUGUGUGCAGCAGGGUGGCGUGUGCUUGGGGAGAAAGACAUCAGCCUUUUGGGGAGAGCUGUCGCCUGCUUGUGCCAAAGCUGUCCAUUUGUACAACUUCGCCCUUGUGAAGGGAUGGGGCAGACGGGGAUAGUUUGGGUUGGCUGUUCUGGGACGGUAGGGAAAAGGGUCUGUACGUGUCCUACAAAAUAAAUAUUAAAAAAGGAAAGAUGUGUGGUUCAAGAAUUGUUUUCCAGCACUGCAUGUAUUGUAAGUUUCAUUGUAAAAAUCAUUAUGACAAUUUUUUUUCUCCUUUUAAGCUUUUUGUGACUUGUUGCACUCGAGCACCUAAAGCCUAGCUACCCAGAUCUAGCCGUCAGAUCCGGCGGUACCGCUGGUUUUUUCUACCUGGUAGUUAAUUGGCUGAUUAAUGUCACUGAUUGGCCAGUGAUCUCGCACACCUGGUGUCCCAGGUUUAAAUCAGUCCCUGAUUAGAGGCGAAGAAUAAAAACCAGCAGGACUACUGGCCUUGGGGACCAGAUUUGAGUAACCCUGACCUGGAGGCAUAACCUGUAUGUAGUACCCCGAUCUAAAGGGAUAACCUGUAUGUGAAAACUCUAUUGUAAACUGCGCUGCCUGUGAAACAUGCUGCCUGUGUGAAACCACGCUGGCUGUGUAAACUGUGCUGCCCAUGUAAACUGCACUGCCUGUGUAAACUGUGCUGCCUGUGGAAACCACACUGCCUGUGUUAACUGUGCUGCCUGUGGAAACCACACUGCCUGUGUAAACUGUGCUGCCCAUGUAAACUGCACUGCCUGUGUAAACUGUGCUGCCCAUGUAAACUGCGCUGCCUGUGAAACAUGCUGCCUGUGGAAACCACGCUGGCUGUGUAAACUGUGCUGCCCAUGAAAACUGCACUGCCUGUGUAAACUGUGCUGCCCAUGUAAACUGCACUGCCUGUGUAAACUGUGCUGCCCAUGUAAACUGCACUGCCUGUGAAACAUGCUGCCUGUGGAAACCACGCUGGCUGUGUAAACUGUGCUGCCUGUGGAAACCACACUGCCUGUGUAAACUGCUGCCCAUGUAAACUGCACUGCCUGUGUAAACUGUGCUGCCCAUGUAAACUGCGCUGCCUGUGAAACAUGCUGCCUGUGGAAACCACA